rnacentral:rRNA from 1 species
CAGCCGCCGCGGUAAUACGAAGGGUGCAAGCGUUAAUCGGAAUUACUGGGCGUAAAGGGUGCGUAGGCGGUUAUAUAAGACAGAUGUGAAAUCCCCGGGCUCAACCUGGGACCUGCAUUUGUGACUGUAUAGCUAGAGUACGGUAGAGGGGGAUGGAAUACCGCGUGUAGCAGUGAAAUGCGUAGAUAUGCGGAGGAACACCGAUGGCGAAGGCAAUCCCCUGGACCUGUACUGACGCUCAUGCACGAAAGCGUGGGGAGCAAACAGGAUUAGAUACCCCCGUAGUCCCUGUCUCUUAUAC